UGCCAGCAGCCGCGGUAAUACGUAGGGUGCAAGCGUUGUUCGGAAUCACUGGGCGUAAAGGGCGUGUAGGCGGAUGUUUAAGCUACAGGUGAAAUCCCAGGGCUCAACCCUGGAUGUGCUUGUAGAACUGGAUGUCUAGAGGAAGGUAGAGGCUAGCGGAAUUCCUGGUGUAGAGGUGAAAUUCGUAGAUAUCAGGAGGAACACCGGAGGCGAAGGCGGCUAGCUGGACCUUAUCUGACGCUGAUGCGCGAAAGCAUGGGUAGCAAACGCGAUUCGAUA
rnacentral:rRNA from 1 species